ensembl:miRNA MIR379 microRNA mir-379
CCUGAUUCUGGGGUCAGCACCACUCCACGGUUCCUGCAGAGAUGGUAGACUAUGGAACGUAGGCUGUGUGAUUUCUGACCUAUGUAACAUGGUCCACUAACUCUCAGUAUCCAAUCCGUCCUCGGAGGGC